rnacentral:rRNA from 1 species
UACGGGGGGUGCAAGCGUUGUUCGGAAUCAUUGGGCGUAAAGCGCGUGUAGGCGGCUUGGCAAGUCGGUUGUGAAAGCCCGGGGCCCAACCCCGGAAUUGCAUCCGAAACUGCCUGGCUAGAGUCCCGGAGAGGAAGGCAGAAUUCCCGGUGUAGGGGUGAAAUCCGUAGAUAUCGGGAGGAAUACCAGCGGCGAAGGCGGCCUUCUGGACGGUGACUGACGCUGAGACGCGAAAGCGUGGGGAGCAAACAGG